rnacentral:lncRNA from 1 species
CAGCUCAGUUUAUGAAUCCAGUCAUCACAGAAACCACAGAACAUCAUAACCCAUGGGCACAGAUAAGCAAGAUGCAAUGUGUAGAUGAAACAGCUGGCUUUCCCAGUAAGGCCUUUCAUGCCAAUAAUACGUUUUGAGUAUUUCACCUUGCUUUUCCUGUGAGGUCAGGAGCGAUCCUCACAUUUUAGUGGAUGAUAUCAUGAGGUUUGUUUGUUGGCAGAGCUUCUCGUGUCAAUAAAUACAGAUACUGCAUUGCCGAGUAUACUGCACUGGGGAUUGAUAAUGGCUGCAAACAGAUUGCUGUCAGUGUAAGUAUGCCCAUAUAGUAGUUACAGCCCAGUGUGCUCAUUGAUAACAGCCAUGUUUUACAACCUGCCUGCACAGGUUGUUUAAAAAAAAAAAAACCAACAAACAAAUCUGUACAAUCUCAUGCACAUUUAAAAGUGAUUUGCAGCUUUAAAAAUUUGAUUAAAUGCACUAAAACAAAUCAUGGGACAUAAGACCUGAAGCAGUAAUUCAGUGCUGUCUGGCACAAGAGCCUUUGUGCAGAAGGGUUAGCUUCACAUUUUGGAAACUGCCUCAGAAGUCCAGGGGUGGAGGAGUGAGUUGGACAAGUUGGUGACUUAUAACACAGCUAUUAAAAUGUGUUUUUCAAAUAAAACGUUUUGAUGUAGAAACUCAGAGAAAUGGAUGAGACCAAGGACCAAUGUUUUCUGGAAACACUGCAUCUGUGUGCCUGAAAGAUUAUUUUUAAAGAACGCUACAGAUUUCUUGGAAAUUGAAAAGGAAAGAUAUUUUCUCUAUAAUUUACACAAAGGGUUAACAGCCGGAGUUUAGGCUACGUACAGUCCGUGUGGGCGUCCUUUCAGUCCGUGAUUCCAGGUGGAAGGCACUACUUCAACAUACCACCGUGUGCACCGCGCGAUUCCAGAAGCACAGUGGAGUGCUGUGUCUCCGAAGCUGUGGACUGAAGGGCCUGGGGGAAGUCUUUGGAAAUAAAAAUGGCAGUGGUUAUCA